GUGAUCUGGAACAGAGGGCAUUCAUUUAGGUGAUGUAAUUGAGCCCGUGUCGGCCAUGUUGGAGCUAUUAGGCCGGGGCUGCUGCGGCGGCUGUAAACAGCUGAUUACGCGCAGCAUCCUUCUCUCAUUUCCACAGAUCGACAUGGAGCUAGAGCCGUGUUCAGGCGGCAAGUUUCACUUUCCCACAAUGCAACAUGUCUCUGUUUGGGUUUAAGGUCACCCAGGAUGAGUAAUAAUUAGCAAACGUCUAAAGGCUACAGGCUGGAAAACAUCAGACUUCUGUUCCACUUUAAACAGUUAGGCUAAAUCAGCAUCAACUGGGACAGAAAUCUGCAGAUUCCUUCUAUGAAGGCAUCAAGAAAUAAUCACAAUGUUGACGUAGACAGAUAUUGACAACAUAUUUCACCAACAUUUAUGGAAGAAAUCAUAAAUACCAUAACGAAAACUCCAAGUUUAGGAAAAUAGUGAUAAUAUUUAUGAUUAGUAGCAUAUUUUGACGUAGCAAAAACUGAAACACGGUUGGGUUUGGCCAAAAUAAAAUUGUCUAUGUUCAUGUACGAUUUGCUUAGGGUUCAUAAAAAUAACAAAUAUUUACCUUAAGCAAAAAACAAUCUUUUAAUUUAGCAGUUUUGCUUAGAAAUAAGUGAUCAUUUCAGGUUAACAAGGUUAGAUUUCUAGAUUUUAGGCAACAAUAUAGAAAAUUUAUGUCACAAGUAAGUUUUUAAAAACUACUGACAUUGUUGCAUAAUUGUUUAGUCUCGUAUUUACGUUUACAUGAAAAUAAAUGUAGGCAACAUUUUGCAUUUAGGAACAGAAUUGAUAGUUUUUUUUAUUUAAUUCAUAAAAAACUAAACAAAAGAGUUUUCUAUUUGUUGUCUAUUUGAGCAAUUCUGCUCCAUCCGUAUUUUCCCUCGACAAUCUUCUCAUUCCGUAGAAGAGUACCUGUUGCUCAUUGUGUCUAUGGGUAUCAGCACUGCCUCCUAUCAGUGAGGCACGGUACUGCACUGCCUCGCCUGGGUCUUCUUUCAUGUAUUUCAACAGGCGAUGGGUAAAUUCUUAGAUUUUGACCAUAAAAUGUUGACAUUACCGAUAAGAAAAAACAAUUUAUAGAAAAUCCAAGUGGCAAAGUGAUUUUCCUUCAUCGUUGUUAGAGUCUAUUUUAUUUCGCAUGGCUUUAUUUUUACCUACCAGGAUUACUCGCCUGCCUCGCCUGACCGCAAAAUCAAUCUGGCAAACAAAAUCAAUUAUUGACUAAAUUUAUCAAAUGCAGCUUCAGAUUUCACUCUCUGUGUUUGAAACAAAUCACAUUUUGACACCUUCAUGUGUCAAAAUGAAGGUAUUUCUGCAAUUAAUCUCCAGAAAUAAAACUGGCUUCUUUCAGGGUGCAUCAUAUUUAUCUUUCACCUUCAAGGUUGUUAGGAGAGGCAAUUCAUGUAUUCCCGAAUUUCUAAAAUAUUUCCCCAAAGUUUGAAAGUUUCUUUCAAAUGAAUGUCCUCUCUAAUUUUAAUGAAACGUAAGAAUUUGGUCCUACUUUAGGGACAGCAGGCGGGCCUAACAUCGACCCAUGGGAGGUCACUCACUAACCGCUGUUAGCUCGGACCGCUAAUUGUGGCCCUGCAGUGCUGAGCUGGUUGGUGAUUCUAGAGUUUUUCUGGAUCUUUUAGCCUGUUUUUUAUAUAAAAGGGAUCUUUAGUUUCUACAGUCGAGCGUCAGUUAGAAGGGAAUUAAACAAUGGAGCUCAGAGUUGAGCACAAUAGAACUUUGUUGUUGGAGAAUUGCCUCAGCAUGCUCUGUCAAGUCAAAUAUCCCUCUGCACUUUCAGCAAACAUGUGCUCUGAAGAUGUCUGAGAAUCCCUCUGGACCCAGGUUUGCCAUCCCGACAUAGAUCCUCCUCACAUCAUUCGCACUGUGUGGAAAGGUGGUGUCGGCUGUAGUGCGUUCGGCGCCGUCGGUUUGGGACAAAAAAGCAACUCUUCAUCACUACAUCUGGUGACACAUGCUGCUUUCGCAACGCCUCAAACUGAAGCCCGAAGAGCCGAGUCAAGGUCCUCCGCAGGGACGCCUCCUUUGUCUGCCUGAACUUUAUAUAAUGUGGGGUGUCAUGUAAAAUGAAAUUACAUGCAGCUCUGCUGUGCAUCUAGUUAUCCUCAGAGUGUAACCUUCAUGGCGGAGGUGUGAGCUUAGCGGAACAUUCUCUGCGGUUAUGGCUGCUUUGAAAUGCCUUCCUCCACACUUUGCACGGCUGUUUGUCUGAAGCCUUUCUGGAUUAGUCCACAAACAAUUCCCCCCCCCACUAUCCCAGCCCCCCUUUCCUUGCAAUGACUAACAUGUCUGGGUGCAUUGUCAGCAUCUCUGAAUGAUGCAGUUACGUAAUGCUGCUCCUUUUAUUCGCUGGUUCUCACUCGUCUCUGAGGUUUUCAUCGAAAAUGCGGCAACAGGAGCUUGUGCCACACCUGAGACAAACUGGGGAUUAAAUGUGUGUUUUCUAGUUGAAUACAAUUAACUACGCUUUGUGUUACACGUUCUAUGUGUUGAUUGACGUGACAAUCGACCCAAAAGGCAGCAGGUUUUCUUAAAAAUCUCCAGACACUUUCUUUAUCAGCCAUGUCUCCGAUUAGGAUGCCAGAUAUUUUAAGUCACAAAUGUUCAGAAAAAAUGUCUCAAAAUGGAAGCCAAGUCCUAAAUAUUUACAAAAAGCAUCAGAUGCUACGGUUGAAAGAUUAGGACGCUAAUUGCAUUGUUGAAAAAUUGCCAUGCUAUAACUGUUUGGAUAAUUAGCAUGCCAACAUCUGGGUAAACUAGCAUGCUACAACUAUGACUGAAAAAUUAGCAAGCAAAUUCUAUGGUUGAAUAAUUAGCAUGCUAACACCAUGCUAAGUUAGCAUAAGAAAUCUUACAGUUGUAACAUUAGAAUGGUAAUGCUAUGGUUAGAUAAUUUGUAUGCUGAUCAUAUGAUUGUAAGAUUAGCAUCUGUGGCGUAUGAAAUUAGCUUGAAUUAAAAUGCUAAAACCAAGGUCCUGCCUGUAGGUCAAAAUUGAAGCAUAACAGUAUUUCUUAAUUGGAAACAUUUGUGCAGGAGCUAAAAAAGUUGUCAUUGUCAGUAAAUUGGUUUGUGACGGUUAGCUGAUAGACUGUUGGGGCUUUAUGAAGUUAUGUUAUUGAAUAUCAAGUGGCUGUUUUUAAAUUUUCUUUCGUAGCAACAUACCAAGAACAAAAACAAUAUGAAUAGAUGGAAAAACUGAUUAACUAAACUCAAAAGCAAAAUGAUUUUGGUGAAUUAUGCGGUAAGAUUUUUUAAGUCCAACUGUAAAAACUCUACACAAAAAGGACUACUGCUAAUGCAGCGCUACAUUUUAUUGUGAAUUCGGUUGUUUUCAGAUGAAGCAUGAAAUGCAUUGCAAAUGGUAGUGAAUAUUAGCAAAGCGGUCUAGACCUGGCACAUGGAAAAUGUGGCAACAAUGUCAAUGGCCUGAUUGUAAUUUGGACCCUUCCCUUUGUUCCUCUUUCAGGAGACCCUCACAAGCAUCAAACUUUGGUUCCUCCUUGUCCUCGGUGCAGAACCUGUGGGGAUCUGACAGGGGCCUGCGUGCGGAGCGAACAAAAGGGACGACCUCGGAAGCGAACUCCUGGGUUUAAUUCGACGCAUUAGCUGCAGUCACACUCCAGCGCCGAGCACAAAUCUCUAAAUCUGGAGCAAAUUCGGCUGCUUUAAAGCACGGAUCAUCUGCGAAAUGUUGAUUUUCUCAAGACGGACAAGCGUCUCUUUGAGGACAGAUGGACAGACAGCGAACCAACAGCCAAACAUCGGGCUCCUUAAGACAGCAGAGCCGCGAUCCAGCUUCUCCCUUACUGUCAGGCACUUCCUGUAAAUAUGUUUUUAGGUGUGUUUGCAAAUACGAAUGCCAGCGAGUUGACAGGAGCAGCGCGGCGGCGGCAGGAACACAGAGAGAGAAACCCCACAGAGCCGCGGAUUUAAAAAUAUCUGCACCCCGCCACCGCCCCCACUGAAAGAGGAACGAGGGAAGAAAAGCAGCAGUUCGCCGGCACAGAUUGGGGUGAAUUUGUCACAGCAGCAAAAAGUAAAAAAAAAAACAAAAAAACAACAACGCACGUUUCACACAGUGGCACAGUCAAGUUUCUAUCAACAAAAAGGAAAUAGUUGUUUGCUGCUGAAACAAGUUCCUGUGAGCACAACACCAGAUAGGAAAGACAUCAGCAAUGACCUCUGGGUGUACACAAAGAGGAAGAGCAAGAGCAAGAGGAAGCGUCUCCAUGGAGAAAAGAGAUCAACAUGAAUGAAGCAACAUGAUGAAGAAGAGAGAACAAAAAUCCUCCCUGUGAUGAAUUAAGGGUGGGGCGUCCAUGGGGUGUACCUACUUUUUCUCCCUUUUUAUUGUUAUCUAUUAAAUAACAAUAAACUGUAGCGUGCUGCCAGUUUUCAUACACUCGAUGCGAUUGUUUUCCCCUCUUGUUGAACUGUUAAAAUACAGCAAGGUGUACUUUCUUUUCCAACUGGACAGUGAUCAGUGUGUGGAAGCAGAUGUAACCCAGAGCAGAGCAGGAAGUGACCGCCAGUUAAGAUGAAGCUUCCUCCUGAUCUGCCAGACAGCCAUCGAUCGGGCUGCUCGUUAGGAGAGCAAGGCCGGCCCGGAGGAUCGGUCCUGACACCGUUAACACCACGCUCUUUAACGAACCACCGUCAGCGGAGCGGGACCCGGUCAUCGACCCCGCCGGCCCACCGCCGCCUCCUUCCUGCCUGGCCGGGACGAGAAGAGAGCCGCGGCAUGUGGCGCUAUCGAUCCACAGGCAGCAAUUUGUUGCCUUGGAAACAACCGAGCAAAGAAAUACAGAUUAAAUACAGAAAUUUGAAAGAG